GGAAAGGUGGCAGAGUGGUCGAAUGCAUCGGUUUUGAAAACCGACGUGGCGAGAGUCACCGGGGGUUCGAAUCCCUCCCUUUCCG
rnacentral:tRNA from 1 species